UCCGGUUUAGUAUUGACAGCCCUACGUGGAUGCGUCUCCGAGGAACCGAGCUAAGAAUGUAGCCCUGGCAGUCUUUUGAGAUGAAACGGCGCCGUCUACAACCUCCAUGGUUGUUCUUAUGAAGAUCUCUUCGGGAAGCUUCAACGUCCGGGUGACUCUGAAAACGGUGAUCUCCGUCACGUUGCCACCGGUGAACGACCUCCGUCACGUUCUGCUCCAACGUCCGGGUGACUCUGAAAACGGUGACGGUUUCAGGGACUUCGACGAGUUUUAUUUUGUAGGCUAAAACGAGAAGGACGUGGGCAGUACUGUUGACGUCAAGAAACGUCAUAAAGAACAACACUUUGGAUCGAAACUGGAACAAUUGAGUAGCCCAAGCGAGGAAAGAGUCAAAACACAAACUUUAGGCAUGAGAAGACAAAGAGACAGAUGUGAAUGCGAAGAGGAAGAAGACGCAACCGGAAGGGAGAGCGUUCUCUGCUUUUGUUGCUUUUACUUGGCAACUUGGAGAGCUCUAAUGGGAUUAAGAACAGAAAGGCCUCGCCAUGCUUCUACAACACUCCAAUGAGUUCUACACAACUCUGGUUUAGAUUUAGGUUAACAAAUGUUAUACACGAUAGUUCAAUUAUAGGUUGGUUUAAUUUAAGUAUCUUAUACUAUAAAGAAGAGCUUCACUCUCUUCUCCUCUUACCACGUCAUCAAAUAGAGGGAGGAGAGAAUGACACGUGUCUACUCUAACCAAAACGCAGUGGUUCAUUAAACGUCGUAAUGAGUUUCGUAUGUAAACGCAAAUCUGUCAUUAUGGGCUUUAAUAUUGUAAAGAGUCUGGGCCCGGCGUGGAGGAGACGCUCUCACCCUAAUACGCUGCAGCGAAGACACGAGGUAUGUCACGCCGGCGACGUUUGCGAUUUUCUCACCAUCUGAAACGGUCUGAGUAAAGGCUUCGUGAUUACUUCCAUUGAUUCGCUCUCCCACUCCGUCUUCUUCAAUGCUUUUCGAUCUGAGAUGCUGUGUUUCAGUAUAAAUACAUAUGCCUCGGUGGUUCUGUGGUGAUACUCUAUGCCCGUGGUGGAGGUUUAUUGGUCUGUUCUGGUAUCUCUCUAUGAAAUUGGAAGCUCGAGCUGCUUCUCGCCUCUCGGUGGUGGUUUUGUGCUACCGCAAGUUUAUUGCGGCGAGUAACCCUUGAAGGUGGCUUCUUUGUUUGUUUCUUUAAGGGUUUUUGGUAGCUGGUUUACUCGCUGGACUUUGCCUCAUCAGGCCAGGACUGCAAAUCUUCAACGGGUCAGAAGAUUGUGAACUGAACCUGAUCAACAAAAGCCAAGCUAAUCACAUGAGAUCUUUUGGUCAGGGUCAACAGCUAUGGCAAGUGGAAUGUUUUUGCUUAUAAUUCCAUCAUAUAUUUUUAAAUUUAAACUUCAGAUUGGAGACGACCUAAAACUAUAAAUGGAACUGUUGGUUUUGUCUUAUCCUUGCAGGCUUGGAUUGCAAACUUUUAAAAGAAUGUUGUUCAAGCAGAUGUGAAAUAGAAGUAUUCAGACAUUUGGAGUUGUGUAGGAAGCAUGUAGCUCACGAUUUGUCUGUCACUUUUAAAGAUUUGGUGCAGUGCUCAUGAAUAUGUAGAACCUAAUGUGGUAGUUUAGAGAGGAUUCGAAAGCUUGCUUGAAAAAGAGAAGCGACGAUGACAACUCCGGUGCCGUCUCAGUGGCUGCUAAGGUGAAAGCUGGUGGUAGUAGCCAGGAUGAAGGAGCAUCUGACAAAGUGAAGAAAGCACGCAAGGCACCGCUUUCUAUACUGCUUAAGUUAUUUUCUAGGUUUUUUUUUUCUUUUUUGGGUUUGCUUUAUGAACAAGUUUGACUUUUGCUCUUGCUAUUUUCUAUUGAUAUCUAGAACAUCAAUUAUAAAUCUGUUUCAUUUCGGAUAUUAUAUUGCGUACUUUUCUAAUAUCAAAGCUUACUAUGGAACGUAUACGUCACUAUAAAACAUACAAUGUAUGUGUGUUGUAGGAAGCCUGAACUUGAUGUAUUAGCAUGUCUUACUUUAAACUGCAGACCUUUGUAGAUUGAGCUAAGUUUCUUAAAGGGUCAGUCUGAUUGGUAAAAUUAUGAAUCAUACAUUCUUCAAGUACACGCUUACAUGAUUACUUUCGCCUAAACGCCAUUUGCACUUACAAUGUUAAUGGUGAGAAAUAGAUUAAAACAAGGUUUUUCGUAAAUAAUUGGUCUCUUAGACCAUGGAUUUCUGAGUAUUAAUUAAUAUUAUUUUACAUUAUAAAAGUCCUAGGCUGUAUUAAAAUUCGUUCAGCUUAUUGUCAAAGUCAAAGUAGAACUACAAUAUAUAGCUACAAUAAACAACAAUAUAUUACAAUAAACAGAUGUAGUUUUUUUUUAUUAUAAUUUAAGCAAUAAAUGUCUUUGUCUAAAAAGUGAACAAGUAAAAAAAAAAGUUAGCAAUUCAAAUUAAACUAAACUAAUGUAAUUCAAUUGUAAUAAUGGAGAUUAAAGUAAAUAGCUGUAAAGUUACAGCAAUACACAAUAUUUUGAUAAGAAAUAAAAAAAAAGAGCAAAUAAAAUAAAUUAAUUGCUCUCUAAUAAAAAAAAAUACUGUUUUCUUCAAAGAAUUGAAUCAUAACUAUGCAUGGUAUUAUGCAAAUUAGUCAACAUAUUUGAUUCUCAAUAUUUAAAGAGCAUAUAUAAGUAAAUAAUUCAUGAAAAUAAUUGUUCAAAUAUAAUAUAUAACCAAUCUACUAAAACAGAACCAACUCAAAUAUUUAAGGAAGCUUAUAUCGAGAGCAUAGCGGAAAGUUUAAAUUUACAUAUUAAUUCAAAUAUAUAAUAUUUAAAGAGCAUAUAUAUGUAAAUAAUUCAUAAAAAUAAUUGUUCAAACAUAAUAUAUAACCAAUCUACUAAAACAAAAUCAACUCAAAUAUUUAAGGAAGCUUGCAUCCUAAGCUUAGCGGAAAGUUUAAAUUUAUAUAUUAACUCAAAUAUAGAAGUAAUUGAGUAUACAUUCAGAUCAAUUACUUCUAUUAAUGUAAAAAGAAAUAUAUAUCUAAAAAGAUAAAAUGAUGUGUACUGUCUGAUAAAAAAAAACAAGCUUACAUCUUCUAAAAUUUGUUUGUGAUAUGAUUGGUUUGAGAACAAAAUGAUGUGUACUGUCCUUACUGCUUCUAAUUUAUUCCAAGCCAUGAAGGGAACAUCUGCACUUUUUGUGAAAUUACAGGUUUGCUUUGCUCUCCGUAUUAAGACCCAAGAUCAAUUCAGAUGUGUAAUUCUGAGAGUUUUAUAUGGUUCUCUGCGGCAAUAGAUAACAUACAAGAAAAUUAUUUUGUCAGAGAUAUAUACAUAUUUUACAAUAUGGAAAUUGUGAAUGAUGUAGCCGCGAUGAUAUAACAGUAUUAUAUAUUUUUUUUUAACACACUUUGUUCAUAAAUGGAAACAUCAUAGUAAAGUAACCAAAUGUACAUUCUUAAUACUUAAAGAGGUAAGUACAUAAUUUAAAUGUUAUAAAGUAUACAGAGGUGAUAGUAUAGAAAAGUUAAAGAGAAUUCUAUAAUUUAUUUGGCUCUGCACACAUAAUUAUAAUAACAUGUAACUUUUAAUAAAUCAAAUUACAAAUGUUCUCAUCAUGUUUUUUACACCAAAACAAUGAAAAGUUAAUAGGACAACCUAUACUAAUAUGAAAUUUUUUUGGACCCAUGUAUAUUUUGUUUUAAGAUGAAAAUAAUAUAAUUCCACACAAAAAAAAGAAUAGGUCAACAGAAAAUUAAAAGCAUAUAUUUUUUUUAGCCAUGAUUGUGAAAAUAUCUCAAACAAAAAAUACGAUUCUAAAAAUAAGUAAUUGUAAAGAAUAUGAUUUUUUUUAAAAAAAUAAUUCAAUAGCAUGAAUAUAAUUCUGAAAAUCAGAAUGUAUUUUACAAUAACAAAUAUUCCGCGUGAAACACAAAAAAUACGAGAAACUAACAAAAUAUUAUAAAAAUGGAAUUAGUCACAUAAUUUUAAAGAUUUUUAAAAAGUAAUUGAGAAAAAUAUAAUAAAAUAGAACUAAAAUAAUUAAUUAUAAAAAAUAAAUGGAAAUUAUAUUUAUAUAAUAACACAUUAAAGAAAUCAUAUGCAAAUAAAUGUAGUAAGUUCAUGAAUUUCAAAGAGAGUUUCAAUAUAACUAAUUUAAUACUGAUAAAAAUUUUGUAAUUAUAAAUUUUAAAUUGAAACAUAAUAAAAAUGAUAAGAUAUAGGAGUAUAAAUGAAAGUAGAAAAUAUAAAAUAAACCAAUCAAAAUAUCUAUAUUACCAAAAUAAAGAAGAACACAUUUCUAUUGAAUCAUCUCAACCAUUAAAGUAUAAAUUUACUUAAUUGCAAAAAAUAGUGAAAAAUCAUAUAAAAAACCCAUAAAAUAAAGCAACCACGAAAAUAAUUAUUCAAACCACAUAUAUAACUAAACCUUCUCAAAUAAGAACAACUAUUAAACCAAUUAUACAUACUUAACCAAUGUGUUUUUCUUUAUUUUUUAUUUUAACUGUAACAUAGAAAAUUUAAAAUAUCUCAGAACCGUUCAGUUCAGAUGAAUGACAGUAAAAUUCAGUGUAUGAAAUUAAGUAAAAAAUAUCUUUACUUAAUCUAUACAAGAAUUAUUAUUCGGGACAAAAAACACAAAUAAUUUUGACUUUGAAACAAAACCGCCACAAGACUAAAACAUCUUCACAUAUUAGCAAACAACAACUGUGGUUUGGUGAGGCAACUAUCUCUAUGCCAUAAUUUCGUUAUGCACAUGAUAAAUUAAGGAAUGCAUGAAAUUUAUUGAUCGUCAUGAACAGAAAACCAACAUGUCUCGGGCAAACAAAUAAUGAGAUAUAUCAAGCGUUCCUUAUGCGGCGUUUCUAUAUUGAAAAAGAAGUGUUAUGGGACUAAUAUGAUCUUUACAAUGCCACCACAUCUCAAUAACCUCAAAAAUAUAUAUAGUGAUUGUUAUUACUAUCACAUCGGCCACUACUAAGUUUUCACACUUUCCAGUUUCGUUGUGUUCUUAUUUUGAUUAGCUUUCUUUUCAUUUAAUUUAAAAUUUUCAUUUAAUUUAAAAUUUUACUUUUAAUAAGAAAUUCAACUUCAAAUAAUUACCACUUCCAUUCCAAUAGCAUGUCGAAAAACAAUGACUUCAACAUAAAGAGUAAAUACUUUUAUAACAUACACAAAAAAUUACCCACAAUCAAAUCUUUCUGAACCUAAAUAUUACAAACCACAAAUAACACACCAAAUACGGAAUCAAACUUUUUGUAAAAAGAAACAACAU